CCAUCUUUUUGAGUCAUAAAGAACCGCUCUAAAAUAUUUACUACAGUAUUAACUAAAUCAUCCCAUUCUCUACCAUGCACAUAUCCAAAAAUCUGAAAUUUCAUUUUCAUAGCAAAAACAUAGACAUUCUCUCAAGACAGCUAGCUAGUAUUACACAUAACAUAAAUAUAGUUUUUAAAUUCGGUUAAAUAGAUCAAAAAGAUGAUCACUGCAAUGAACUACAUAAUUUCUAAAUUCUGUUAAGCAGAAUAAAACAAAGAUGGCUGCAAACAUAACUGAAUUCCUAGAAAGCGUUGUUAAUUUUUCCUUUAAUGUUACCGUCCUCAAGCUUUGAAGACAAUUGCUUAUGUAAGAAUUGUAUGAAGAGCUGACUGGACCCCUUAACUCUAACAUGGAUCAAAACAAACGGAUCGCGCGCCGCUUGUCUGUUCUUUUCAAUAAUACAAUUUGCCUAUUCA
rnacentral:lncRNA from 1 species